GACACAAAGACAGGACAUAGGGCCCCUUAAGUGGAAGCUACUUUUUUUCCCCUUACGUGCAACCUAUUUGUGAAAAAGACCAUCGCUUUGAGCAGACUGGAUUGGCUAUUAGUGAUACAGUCUCUCCCUCUCCCUGUCAGCUUUAACUCGCUCUACCUGGACUAGUAACGUAUCAGCAUGCGGUAGUUGAGAGAGAAAAGGCAUUAACAUGGAACGCUAUCACACUUUCCUUUCUCCCCUCAUUGGACUAAGUUUAUGGACACAGCUGUG